rnacentral:rRNA from 1 species
UAAUACGUAGGGGGCAAGCGUUGUCCGGAAUUAUUGGGCGUAAAGAGCGCGUAGGCGGUCCGGUAAGUCGGUUGUGAAAGUCGGGGGCUCAACCCUCGGAUGCCGAUCGAUACUGUCGGGCUAGAGUCCGGAAGAGGCGAGUGGAAUUCCUGGUGUAGCGGUGAAAUGCGCAGAUAUCAGGAGGAACACCAAUGGCGAAGGCAGCUCGCUGGGACGGUACUGACGCUGAGGCGCGAAAGCGUGGGGAGCAAACAGGAUUAGAUACCCUGGUAGUCCACGCCGUAAACGAUGGACACUAGGUGUGGGAGGUGUCGACUCCUCCCGUGCCGAAGCUAACGCAUUAAGUGUCCCGCCUGGGGAGUACGGCCGCAAGGCUA